UAAACCCCAAUCCUCAUUCUUUGAAGCUUCCCUUCGAAUCCCAAAAAUGGCGACUAAAAGUCCUUCGAAAUCCAACAAUGGUGGACUGAAAGUCCUUCGAACCUUAACAAUGGCUGUUGUUGUCACUGCUUUUUCCCUCCUUAUUUCAACGUCCUUUGAAAUUAGGGUUGAAAUUUCUUCUUUUCUUGAUAAAUCCUUCAGUUCAUGAACAAAUCCUCUUUUCAUGAUUCUUCUAACUUAGAAUUUCAACAAUAAUCGAAGCCAACAAUUAUCUUUGUUCCAUCUGGUUCCUCAAUUUUCGGAAAUAACGAACAAAAUAAUAAUAGGUAUGAUUCCCUCUUUCUCUGAAUUUCAAUUCUAUAAUUUUUGUUCAUGAAAUUUUGAUCUAACCCUUCUCUCCCUCUCAAUUCAUUUGAUUUCUUUGAACCCAACAACUGCACCAUGAAUGUCGCCCUACCUUCUUGAGCAUUUUCGAAGAACCGUGCCUUCUUCAUCUCGCUCUUUUCGGCAGAUUCCAGUAUAGGGCAAGAAGGAGGCGACAUUAUCGAAGAGCCCUUCUAGUGAUCGUGGAGUACCAAACUUAGCUUCUUGAAGCGUUCUUUUGUUGAUUACAGAUCGGAACCAGUCGGGAAUAAUGGAUUAGCGGAGGUGAUUAGAGGUUCCAAGGAUGUAUAUUGAUUAGAGGUUCCAAUGAUGUAUAUUGAGCUGAGCACGUAGGAAUUUGUAGAUUUGUAUUCGGACUUUGGAUAAAUGUAUAUUAGAUUUGGUUGUGUUGGUUAUAUUGGACUUGAAAAUUGUA